AACGAACGCUGGCGGCAUGCCUAACACAUGCAAGUCGAACGAGACCUUCGGGUCUAGUGGCGCACGGGUGCGUAACGCGUGGGAACCUGCCCUUAGGUUCGGAAUAACUCCCCGAAAGGGGUGCUAAUACCGGAUAAUGUCUUCGGACCAAAGAUUUAUCGCCUUUGGAUGGGCCCGCGUUGGAUUAGCUAGUUGGUAGGGUAAAAGCCUACCAAGGCGACGAUCCAUAGCUGGUCUGAGAGGAUGAUCAGCCACACUGGGACUGAGACACGGCCCAGACUCGUGCGGGAGGUAGCAGUGGGGAAUAUUGGACAAUGGGCGAAAGCCUGAUCCAGCAAUGCCGCGUGAGUGAUGAAGGCCUUAGGGUUGUAAAGCUCUUUUACCCGGGAGGAUAAUGACAGUACCGGGAGAAGAAGCUCCGGCUAACUCCGU
rnacentral:rRNA from 1 species